rnacentral:sRNA from 1 species
UCAUCACCAUCAUCAUCCUGAGUAGUCUUUCGGGAGGAUACGUUCUGACUGGAAGAUAACAAAGCUUCCGGUGGUAUAAAGGACAAACCCAAUCGAUACCCUUGGAAGCUCUCUUCCAAGGGUUUUUUAAU